AACGGAGGGUGCAAGCGUUAAUCGGAAUUACUGGGCGUAAAGCGUGCGCAGGCGGCCCGUUAAGACAGGUGUGAAAUCCCUGGGCUCAACCUAGGAAUUGCGCUUGUGACUGGCGGGCUCGAGUACGGUAGAGGGGGGUGGAAUUCCUGGUGUAGCAGUGAAAUGCGUAGAGAUCAGGAGGAACACCGAUGGCGAAGGCAGCCCCCUGGGCCUGUACUGACGCUCAUGCACGAAAGCGUGGGGAGCAAACAGG
rnacentral:rRNA from 1 species